UACGGAGGGUGCAAGCGUUAUCCGGAUUCACUGGGUUUAAAGGGUGCGUAGGUGGGCAGUUAAGUCAGUGGUGAAAUCUCCGGGCUCAACCCGGAAACUGCCAUUGAUACUAUCUGUCUUGAAUAUCGUGGAGGUAAGCGGAAUAUGUCAUGUAGCGGUGAAAUGCUUAGAUAUGACAUAGAACACCAAUUGCGAAGGCAGCUUACUACCCGAAUAUUGACACUGAGGCACGAAAGCGUGGGGAGCAAACGGG
rnacentral:rRNA from 1 species